rnacentral:rRNA from 1 species
GAUGAACACUGGCGGCGUGCCUAAUACAUGCAAGUCGAGCGAACAGACGAGGAGCUUGCUCCUCUGACGUUAGCGGCGGACGGGUGAGUAACACGUGGAUAACCUACCUAUAAGACUGGGAUAACUUCGGGAAACCGGCGCUAAUCCCGGAUAAUAUAUUGAACCGCAUGGUUCAAUAGUGAAAGACGGUUUUGCUGUCACUUAUAGCUGGAUCCGCGCCGCAUUAGCUAGUUGGUAAGGUAACGGCCUACCAAGGCAACGAUGCGUAGCCGACCUGAGAGGGUGAUCGGCCACACUAGAGCGGGGACACGGUCCAGACUCCUACGGUAGGCAGCAGUAGGGAACCUGCCGCAAUGGGCGAAAGCCUGACGGAGCAACGCCGCGUGAGUGAUGAAGGCCUUCGGAUCGUAAAACUCUGUUAUUAGUGAAGAACAAAUUUGUAAGUAACUAUGCACGUCUUGACGGUACCUAAUCAGAAAGCCACGGCUAACUACGUG